GCGUGUGAUAAUACUAGCACUAAUGCAUCGGAUCCCAUAAGAACUCCGCAGCUAAACGUGCUUGGGCGAGAGUAGUACUAGGAUGGGUGACCUCCUAGGUUAUCCUCGUGUUUCACCCC
rnacentral:rRNA from 1 species